CUACGUAGGGGGCGAGCGUUGUCCGGAAUGAUUGGGCGUAAAGGGCGCGUAGGCGGCCCGGUAAGUCUGGAGUGAAAGUCCUGUUUUUAAGAUGGGAAUUGCUUUGGAUACUGAUGGGCUUGAGUGCAGGAGAGGUUAUCGGAAUUCCCGGUGUAGCGGUGAAAUGCGUAGAGAUUGGGAGGAACACCAGUGGCGAAGGCGACUUACUGGACUGUAACUGACGCUGAGGCGCGAAAGUGUGGGGAGCAGACAGGAUUAGAUACCCUGGUAGUCCACACUGUAAACGAUGAAUGCUAGGUGUAGGGGGUAUCGACCCCUUCUGUGCCGCAGUCAACACAAUAAGCAUUCCGCCUGGGGAGUACGGCCGCAAGGUUGAAACUCAAAUGAAUUGACGGGG
rnacentral:rRNA from 1 species